rnacentral:rRNA from 1 species
GUGAGGAAUAUUGGUCAAUGGACGGAAGUCUGAACCAGCCAUGCCGCGUGCAGGAAUAAGGUCCUAUGGAUUGUAAACUGCUUUUAUUCGGGAAUAAACCUCUUUACGUGUAGGGAGCUGAAGGUACCGAAGGAAUAAGCACCGGCUAACUCCGUGCCAGCAGCCGCGGUAAUACGGAGGGUGCAAGCGUUAUCCGGAAUCAUUGGGUUUAAAGGGUCCGCAGGCGGGCUAUCAAGUCAGAGGUGAAAUCCCACAGCUUAACUGUGGAACUGCCUUUGAAACUGAUGGUCUUGAAUUAAGUGGGCGUUGGCGGAAUAUGACAUGUAGCAGUGAAAUGCAUAGAUAUGUCAUGGAACACCGAAAGCGAAGGCAGCUAACGAUACUUAUAUUGACGCUCAUGGACGAAAGCGUGGGUAGCGAACAGGAUUAGAAACCCCAGUAGUCC